rnacentral:rRNA from 1 species
AUGAACGCUAGCGGCAGGCCUAACACAUGCAAGUCGAGGGGCAGCGGGUUCUAGCAAUAGAAUGCCGGCGACCGGCGCACGGGUGCGUAACGCGUAUACAAUUUACCCUAUACUGGGAGAUAGCCCGGAGAAAUUCGGAUUAAUAUCGCAUAAAAUUUUUUCAUCGCAUGAUGAGAAUCUUAAAGCUACGGCGGUAUAGGAUGAGUAUGCGUCUGAUUAGCUAGUUGGUGAGGUAAUGGCUCACCAAGGCAACGAUCAGUAGGGGGCCUGAUAGGGUUAUCCCCCACACUGGAACUGAGACACGGUCCAGACUCCUACGGGAGGCAGCAGUGAGGAAUAUUGGUCAAUGGAGGCAACUCUGAACCAGCCAUGCCGCGUGUAGGAAGAAGGUCUUCGGAUUGUAAACCCCUGUCGUUGAGGAGCAAAAACUGAAUUAGAUUCAGCUUGAGUUAACUCAAAAAGGAAGUAGUGGCAAACUCCGU